rnacentral:rRNA from 1 species
UAGGGAAUAUUGGGCAAUGGGCGAAAGCCUGACCCAGCAACGCCGCGUGAAGGAAGAAGGCUUUCGGGUUGUAAACUUCUUUUAUGUGGGACGAAAAAAAUGACGGUACCACAUGAAUAAGCCACGGCUAACUACGUGCCAGCAGCCGCGGUAAUACGUAGGUGGCAAGCGUUGUCCGGAUUUACUGGGUGUAAAGGGCGCGUAGGCGGGAAUGCAAGUCAGAUGUGAAAUGCCAGGGCUUAACCCUGGAGCUGCAUUUGAAACUGUAGUUCUUGAGUAUCGGAGAGGCAGGCGGAAUUCCUAGUGUAGCGGUGAAAUGCGUAGAUAUUAGGAGGAACACCAGUGGCGAAGGCGGCCUGCUGGACGACAACUGACGCUGAGGCGCGAAAGCGUGGGGAGCAAACA